AGUCAACAUGCCCAGGGGACGUGGAUAACCUCGGGAAACUGAGGAUAAACCGCGAUAGGCCAAGAUUUCUGGAAUGAAUCAUGGUUUAAAUCUAUAUGGCCCCUGGAUUGGACUGCGGCCGAUCAGGCUGUUGGUGAGGUAAUGGCCCACCAAACCUGUAACCGGUACGGGCUCUGAGAGGAGGAGCCCGGAGAUGGGCACUUAGACAAGGGCCCAGGCCCUAUGGGGCGCAGCAGGCGCGAAACCUCUGCAAUAAGCGAAAGCUUGACAGGGUUACUCUGAGUGAUUUCCGCUAAGGAAGUCUUUUGGCACCUCUAAAAAUGGUGCAGAAUAAGGGGUGGGCAAGUCUGGUGUCAGCCGCCGCGGUAAUACCAGCACCCCGAGUGGUCGGGACGAUUAUUGGGCCUAAAGCAUCCGUAGCCGGUCCUGCAAGUCCUCCGUUAAAUCCACCCGCUCAACGGUUGGGCCGCGGGGGAUACUACAGGGCUAGGAGGCGGGAGAGGCAAGCGGUACUCGAUGGGUAGGGGUAAAAUCCACUGAUCCAUUGAAGACCACCAGUGGCGAAGGCGGCUUGCCAGAACGCGCUCGACGGUGAGGGAUGAAAGCUGGGGGAGCAAACCGGAUUAGAUACCCGGGUAGUCCCAGCUGUAAACGAUGCAGACUCGGUGAUGGGCUGGCUUCGUGCCAACCCGGUGCCGCAGGGAAGCCGUUAAGUCUGCCGCCUGGGGAGUACGGUCGCAAGACUGAAACUUAA
rnacentral:rRNA from 1 species